UGGGGAAUAUUGCACAAUGGGCGAAAGCCUGAUGCAGCAACGCCGCGUGAGUGAUGAAGGUUUCGAUUGGUAAAGCUCUGUCUUUUGGGACGAUAAUGACGGUACCAAAGGAGGAAGCCACGGCUAACUACGUGCCAGCAGCCGCGGUAAUACGUAGGUGGCGAGCGUUGUCCGGAUUUACUGGGCGUAAAGGGUGCGUAGGCGGAUGUUUAAGUGAGAUGUGAAAUACCCGGGCUUAACUUGGGUGCUGCAUUUCAAACUGGAUAUCUAGAGUGCAGGAGAGGAGAAUGGAAUUCCUAGUGUAGCGGUGAAAUGCGUAGAGAUUAGGAAGAACACCAGUGGCGAAGGCGAUUCUCUGGACUGUAACUGACGCUAGAGCNAGAAGCGUGGGUAGCAAACAGGAUUAGAUA
rnacentral:rRNA from 1 species